CAGUCGCCGCGGGAAUACGGAGGGGGCUAGCGUUGUUCGGAAUUACUGGGCGUAAAGCGCACGUAGGCGGCUUUGUAAGUUAGAGGUGAAAGCCUGGAGCUCAACUCCAGAAUUGCCUUUAAGACUGCAUCGCUUGAAUCCGGGAGAGGUGAGUGGAAUUCCGAGUGUAGAGGUGAAAUUCGUAGAUAUUCGGAAGAACACCAGUGGCGAAGGCGGCUCACUGGACCGGCAUUGACGCUGAGGUGCGAAAGCGUGGGGAGCAAACAGGAUUAGAUACCCCUGUAGUCCCUGUCUCUUAUAA
rnacentral:rRNA from 1 species